CAAAGAAUGUUGGAGUAGAAUCUUCCAUCGUAAUCAAAACACACAGAUCCCUGUCGUCACCUUUCAAGUAUACGCAUACAGAAAACACACUCUCAAGUUGAGAGUCUCAACCAAACGACCGUGCUGCCCUUUUUGAGUUCUAUUUAUUACAUGUCGUUCUUGUUUUCUUCUUACUACUCCUGUUUCCAUGCAUUGAAGACUGGCGUUGGAGAACCGGAGGAAUUGCUGUCGGGGAAUCGAACAGAAUCUGAUAUCAGAAUGUGGGUUAGAAGAAUCCGAGGCAUUUAUUCCCGCGUGCGAUACCUCAGGCUUUGAACAGGUCUCUUUCGUGAAAUUCUCGUUUCGGGUGUUCGAUUCUCUGUAUUGAAUGAAUUCAUGAUAAGGGUUUUUCAAAGAAUUGGAUUUUGGAAUGGGUUUUGUUGAUUGGCUAGGACUUUUUAAUAUUAUUAUCUUGUCCUACUAAUCGGUAUGUAAGCUUUUGGUUUGAGUCGAUAUUUUGAUACUGAUGAAUGGAAAGGCGUGUGGUGGUUUAUUGCACUCUGUCGCUUCUGCACUCAGUUGCUAGAGGUUAUUGUAGAUUUUGAAACCAAUUUCUUGGUGAUAUUGAUUGGGUAUGAGAGUGGUGAUAUUGACUGGGUAUGAGAGCGGAUACUUGCUAAAUCUUUUUUGUUGAUGCUGCAGCGAGAUUUUUGUUUCUACAUAUUGUGAGUUUGGUUAUCCUAUACUAGGUUCGUGGAGAAUUGGAUUCAUCUGUGGGCUCGGUGAUUGGAGAGUUUUUGUUGAUGCCGGGGAGUGAUUCAUUGUGUUGCAUGUUGUUUGUGUAGUUGUCAUCUGUGCGUCAUUAUUUCGGGGGGGUCACCAGUUGGUGGUAGAUACAUGAGGCAGAGGCACAGCCAGGGGCAUGCCUCCCUGGCUGUGCCUCGAGUGGUGAUGACCUUGAGGAUGAUGCAUGCUCAAGGCCACGUCCUUUGUCUCCUGCAAGUCCAAGAAGCAGGACGUGGAUUGAGAUUUUGGAGAAUUUUCUUUGGCUUGCUUCGGCAACUUUCACUAUAUACCGUGGUGAUCGGCACUCUAAUCUGAUAUAUCUCUUAUGGCAUGACAAUCGAAUUAGAAGGUAAACAAUUUGUCUGAAUUUGAAUCCCUAUAAAUUGUUCAUUUUUUGAUGCAAUUAAUCUCUUUUGAUGUAAUUUAUUCAGUGUUUUUCUUUCAUUGCCUGAGAUACUAUCUAUCAUUGGGUUGUUUAGUCAUAAAUGUUAAUUAGGUCAUGCAUUUAGAUCGCACCAAAAGUUUAUAAUUCUGAUUUGCUGAUUUGUUCCCCUUAGUACUUACAUAGAGAGAAGUCAACAUGAAACUAGAAAUUUGUGAGUGUGUGAUUUGGUGCAUCGUAUCUCUUAGCUUCAGAUUAAUUUGAUGCCACAGUGAAGUCUCAAAAACCUGGCACUCUGGUUAUGUGGCCAUGAUGCCUUGUGACUUAUUGCUGAAGCUUGUGAUUUAUGCAGUAUUGAAAAUCAUUUUUCUUUUGAUAAGUUACAGCAUUGAUAAUUAUGGAUAUUCUUAGGGAAUUGAGAUUUAAUAUUGAUAAUUUCAUGCAAUUCAUAUUAUGUGCUUUUAAUGUUCACCAAACUAUAUUCAUACUAGCAUCUCUUUCCCUCGAGAAUUUUGAAUGAUUUUGCGGUUUUUAUUUGUUUUUUAGAAUAAAUGCUUGGCUCCCAAGCCUUAGUUCCCUUCAUCCUUCUCUCUCUCUCUCUCUCUCUCUCUCUCUCUCUCUCUCUCUCUCUCAUGCACACACGCACGCGCAUGAGAGAGACAGAGACAGAGAUUGGAUGAAGCCCGCACCUCUAUCUUUGAACGUAGAACUAUCAUUGGGCAGUAAGGCCAUUGGUGAAAUACUAGUAUUCAUUGAUGAGCUCAUUUUUUUUUUCUUUUUGGUGAUCUCAUCUAUUCUAAUUUUCUUGCUGAAUUCCUUUGUACCUUGGGAUGGUGGGUGUCAGUUUGAAUGCUCUCAUAUUCUUCUAUUCAAGCAUGUCAGUUUGGAGUGUCAGGAGGUUCAAUGAGAAAUGGAACUGACUAGUCUUUCUACUUUGCCGUUCAUUACCUUUCUUGGACUUGUCUCCUUUUGUUUGUAAGAGGAACCAUCAUGCUUAAUCUAUUUAAACAUAUCGAGUGUUGUGCUUGAAACAACUCCUGUAUUGCUGAGCUUUUCUCUUUCAGGUUUUCUUUUGCUUUAUGGCCAAUAUGGAGUUUCUUGACUCUUCUGGUAAUCUCACAUGCUUUUCUUUUUUCAUCCCUUGCUUUCGAAUAUUUUAAAUUUGGUAACUGUUUAAUUUCUAGUCAUUUCUACAUUUCACACUGUUUAUGGCUUGCAUGGUUAUAUUCCCCUACAUUUUGAUUGGGGCAUUCAGGCCACAAUAUGAUAUAUUUCGUAUUGAUUAAGGCUUCCUGGAUGCAUGUGAGAAAUAACACCGACAUAGAUGAAGAGUUGCUAACUCGGACAUGGGUGGUUGGUAGCAGGGCCUAUAAAUUGAGGUUUUGCCUCCAUUAUGUGAUGCAUCCCUUUCCUUGUUUGCGCAUAGCAGUGCUACUAAUGGUAAAGUUGAUUGUUUUUAAAUCAGUCAGCUUCGCGUAAACCUUACCUGGAUGAUUGAUAUGCACCGAUGGUACAAUCUGAUAUCAAUUUCCACUUUACUCCCAGAGCUAUGUCUCAUAUAAUGAAAUUGGUAUUUGGGAUCUGACGCUGGUGAGGCGGGAUUUAGUGACCUAGGCAUGUUCAGUUCUCCCUCUCUCUCUCUCUCUCUCUCUCUCUCUCUCUCUCUCUCUCUCUCCCUCUCUGCAUCUGCAGCAUCGAGUCACAUAUUUGCCAUCUGACUGCCUUUUGUGCUGAGAAUUCUUCAUUCGAAUAGAAGGAUAUGGACCGUGUGUCCGAACUCAAUAUGCUAAUGGCACAACUUUAUAGAUACUAAAAGAGUUUGCUCCGUUUUUUAUUUAUAUGAGUGAGGUUUGCUUGAUUGAAAGUUGAAGAAAUACAGCAUUAGAUCUAUUGGACGGUUCUUUUUUUCCUUUGGAAAAUUAAUUUGUCUGGUCAUGUUUCUGUUGUGAACUUCUGUUGGACACAUGAGAAUGAAACAAGGCUAAGUAACUAACAGAAUAUUAUGAAUAUGCACUACAACAACAUAUUUCAGCAUCUUCUACAGAUUUUGUGCCUGGUGGCUGUGGCCCAUGAGCUUGGGUGGCAUGGACUGAUAGAAGACCAUUAAUUAAGAAUAUUAAAUAAUAGAAAAAUCUGCCAUGAUACCAUUGUUGUUUCUCUAUUGUCUUUUAAGCCUGUCUUCUUUGGGAGACGAAGUAAGAGAUGAUCACAAAAGACAUGAAAGCAAAUAAACAAUAACCUUUCUUUAACAUAAUAGUUGUUACUGUCUCCUUGGCUCACUCAUGGCCAAGAAUAUUGCCAGUGUCCUGCAAAUUUUUUUCUAGCUUAGAUUUAAAUCCCAAGACUGAAAAACGAGUCCCAUGAUGCUCUUGAUGACUUCAAACCCACUAAUAUGGAAUUAGGUUGUUCUUUUUUUUUUUUCACUUUGAAUUAAGGAUAAAAAAUUGUCUCUAUUGGGUUGGGUCUACUAGGGUUUUUCACGGUUAUUAAUGCUCUCCACAUGCAUUAAUAAUCCAUAGUACUAGAAUUGGCCCCUUAUGAUUUUCAAGACGAGUUAUAUUAUCUACUGAUAUUUUUCUUUCAUUCCACCUUGUUGAUGUGGUUUCUGAUCAUUAAUCACCGACUCUUUUUCUUGAAAAAAGAAGAGUGUAGUAUACAGAACUGUCCUUUGAAUAUGGGAGGGAGAAGAUCCCUGAACAAGAUAUAUGUAAUGUAAGUUUGCCAUUACUUUUCUUAAUUUAUGUGGUUUACCAAUGCAAAGUGUGUGCAAAAGAAAGUAAAUGUGAACCCCACUAGAAUUACUUUCAUAAUCUUCACAAGGACCUCUUCAUGCCUUGUCCCCUAAGUUGAGAAGAGAAAAACAUCUUUCAAACAUCUCUCUCCAAAAAGAAAAAGCAACCGAAUCAAUUUAAUCUCUGUGUUCAUAAUAAUUUGCGGGUUUGCAUAGAAUUAUUGUAUCUUUCAUUGAACAGGUAGAGCAUAAAGUGAUUGUGACUGAUUGAGAUGCAAAUCUAACAUUUAUCUAAUUAAAAAAAAAUGCUAUAUAUUAUUGUAUAAAGUGAUUUGGAAUAACUAGAUGAUAAGAGAAAAAUUACAAAUAGUUUUUUAAUUAUUUAUUAUCAAGAGAUAUGAUAUUAUAAUAAUAAUAAUUAAAAAUAAUGAUAAUAAGAGUAAAGUCCUAAUAGAUUGAUGGGAUCUACGUUGAGAUCAUUGGAGGAAUUUAAAGAAGCUCAAGCAUUUCGGAUAGAGAAAUAGUUGAGAGGAAUAAGCUCAUUCUGAGGGGGAGCAGCAGUUGCAAGUACCAGCAGAAGAUGUAUACAAAGUAAAUUUUGAUGCUGCUGAAAUAGGUAUUUGAAUUAUAAUAAAAGAUAGUAGAGGAGAGGUUAUGGCCUCAGCUUGUGAGCAAAAAAUGGAGCAUAUCAACAUGUAGUAGCUGAAUGUUUGGACCUCUGGAAAGCUGUGGAAUUGAGUAUAGAGCUGAGUUUCUCCAAAGUAUUGUUCGAAGGGGAUUCACUCUCAGUUAUAAAUGCAAUACAAAAUGAGGAGACUAAUAUGGCUUACUAUAGACAAAUAGUGCAAGAUGUCAAAGAGGUCUUCAGGUUCAAAAAUGAGUGGUCUGCUAAAUUUGUUCACAAAGAGAAUGUAAUGAAGUGGCGCAUCAACUAACUUGUAGAAAAAUACGGUUUUCAAUGUGGCGCAUCAACUAGGGUUUUCAAUAGGGUUUUUCAAAAAAAUAGGAUUUGAGUAAUACUACAUACAGUCACUUUUACGUA